AUGAACAGAGUCAACAGGAGAGGACACAACGAGCAGCUUUUCGUUGGUCAUCUGAAGCUGAAGGAUUUGAAGGAGCAAGACGGUUUGAACAACCGGUACCUCUUCAAAGACCACAUCCCAGCGUACCCCCGACCAGAGUUUCAUGUGUCUCAUCUGAAACACGACACUGACAGAGUGGGAUUACGUGGGAUCAGGAGGGACGGUGGCUUCAGGAACCCGGCUGAUGGCUCUCUGCUGUGGUGGAGUCUGGUUGUGGGAUCUGAUGAGAUAAGGUCAGCUGAGAGGAGGCUCCUGGAGACCACCUACCCAGACCGGACAGAGGAGCAGGCCCAGAAGCAGCAGAGCUUCCUGGAGAAGUUUGCAACCUCCCCAGUCUUCAUGGAGUCCUCCAGGCUGGGCUCGUACCGCUUCACCUUCCCCCUGGAGGAGGUUCUGAAGGCCUACAGAGACCAGUUUUGUUCCGGUGCUCAGCCCGUCAUGAGGGUGUUCAGGACCGUCCUGUACAAACAGGAAGUGAUGUAUGCGGUGCUGGUCCACAGCCCGGCCAAUCAGCAGCUGUUCUCAGACCUUCCUCUGCUGACUGACGACCCAAACUCUGUGUGCACUUACAGAGACGGACACUUCAUCUGGAGGUCUGAGGCCAUGUGUGAGACACACAGGUAUCAGUUGGUCUGCAGAGACGAUGUGAAGCUGAUGGACGUGGAGGACGUGGAGUCUCUGUUCUAUGUUUGGGAUCACGUGGGCGUCGCCCUGCACGUGGACGAACACGUUCUGCAGUUUGAUGGCGACCGACUGAGAGAGACGCUCUCGUUCUGCGACAGAGCGACGCCGGCUAUCAUCCCUCCCAACAGGUUCGAUGACUUCCUGCAAGCGAAACAUCUGGUUGAAGUGAAACUGUGGCCCGACUGUCGCUGCCCGCUGGAGAGAGAACCAACUGGACCUCCUCCGAGCUCUUUUAUGGAACAAUAA
rnacentral:lncRNA from 1 species